CUGCAAGCAGCGGUUACAGCAGUCAGCCCAACAGCUGAGACCGUGCACAGAUGCAUGCAAGGAGACUGUGGAAAGAGCAGGAUCUCCUUUCCUUUCCAGAAGGGCACUUAGGUGGAUGAAAGGAGAAUUGCAUACUCUCAGAUUUCAAUCCACUGGUGUUGAAGAAUAGAGAAGCCUACAGAUUCUGAUGAUGGUCCUUCUGGUUGUGCUAUGUGGGAUGCCACCUCAGCAUGGCCUGAUGAGUUGUGCUACGUCUGUGCCGAGGAUCCAAACCAGCGAAACCUUGGGCCACUGAAGCGGAGCAUGCAAACUUAAGCACUCGGCCACAGGGAUUCCAAGUGUAAAGAGAAGCAGAAGCCAAUGGCACUGAAUCAACUGGAACUCCCAAUAGCAGAAUAUGAGAGUUGCCGUUUCUCUACAUCCUUGCCAACACCGACUAUUGGCAAUGGUGUAACUCUAGCCAUUAUGGUGGGUAACAAAUGAUGUGGAACACCCUUUCAUACGCUUAUUGGACAUUUGGAUGUCCUCUUUUGUGAAGCACCAGUUCAAAUCAUUUGACUGUUUAAAAACUGCAUUGUCUGUUUUUUCUUAUUGGUUUGUAGAAGUUCCAAAUAUAUUCUGGAUACAAGUUUUUUGGUGAUAUAUAUAUAUAUAUAUAUAGCAAAUAUUGUCUCCUAUUCUGUGACUUGCGUUUUCCCUCUCUUAAUAGUAUAUUCGUUAAAUAGAAAUUUCAAUUUUAGUCAAGUCCAAUUUAGCAAUCUCUUCCAUUAUGUGUCUUGUGUUAUGUUUAGGAAAUCUUUGCAUAUCCUAAAGUCUUAGGCAUGUUCUCCUAUGUUAUACUUAAAAAGCUUUCUUUUCUUUCACAUUUAAGUCUAUGAGCACCUGGCAUAGAUUUUUGGUGUCUGUAUUUUAACUUUGUAUUCUCUUCCACUGAUCCAUUUGUCAACACUUGAAUCAAUGUCACACUGCUUUUAUACCUUUAUUUAAAAAUGUUUUGAUAUCCAGUAGUAUAAGUUCUCAACUUUGUCCUUUUUCUUCAAUAUUAAACUUGUUAUUCUUAGCCCUUUAUAUUUUGAUAUAAAUUUUAGAAUCAAUUUCACUAAAUUUUCAAUUUCCACAAAAAAAUUUUCUUCGAUAUGGGAAGAAUAGUCAUCUUUAAAACAUUGAGUCCUCAAGUCCAUGAAGAUGACACACACCUUGAUUUAUUUGAUUAAUUUUCUCAGUGAUGUUUUGUUGUUUUCUGAGUAUAGGUCUUGCAUAUCUUUCACUGAUUUUUUUUCCUCAAGUAUUUGAUGUCUUCUGCUAUUAUUAGAAGUUAUAUUGCUUUAACACUUUAUUAUCUAAUUUUUUUUUCUCGUGUAUGGAAAUACAAGCGAUUUUUUUAUAUAUUGACCUUCCACCUAGUGACCUUGCUAAAUUCACUUAUUGGUUCUAGAGGCUGAUCCAAGAUUCUCUCAAAUUUUCGUGUACUCAGUUAUGUCAUCUGUGAAUAAUGAUAAUUUUAUUUAUUGACUUCUUUUCUUU
rnacentral:lncRNA from 1 species